AAAAAUUAAGCCUAAAAUACGCAAUACAAAGCAGAAUGUGUUGAUGGUUUGAUGUGUUACACAGUGGUACACACACACUAAUCGUUGAUACGAAGAGUUAACUCCGCUUCGUCAAAUUUCUCUCGUUGAGAAUAAAACAUACAAACACAGGGAAUGUCCAUUGUUAAGCAAAACAUCGUUCCCAUCCCUAGACGUGUUUACAAGUUCUGCUGAGAGUGAAC